UUUUUAGUGUAAGUAUGUCCCGUGAAAUAUUUGGGACAUGCUUAUACUAUAA
rnacentral:pre_miRNA from 2 species